GUGCUUGCUUUGGCAGCACAUAGACUAGAUUGGAACAAUACAGAGGAGACUAGGAAGGCCCCUGCGCAAGGACAACAUGCCAAUUUGUUAAGCAUUCUAUAUUUUU